rnacentral:rRNA from 1 species
GCCUUGCCAGCCCGCUCAGAAACUCAAAGGAAUUAGACGGGGCCCGGCACAAGCGGAGGAGCAUGUGGUUUAAUUCGAUGAUACGCGAGGAACCUUACCUGGGCUUAAAUGCUUAAUGACGUACUGGGAAACUGGUAUUUCUUCGGACAUUUUGCAAGGUGCUGCAUGGUUGUCGUCAGCUCGUGCCGUGAGGUGUCGGGCUAAGUCCCAUAACGAGCGCAACCCCUAUUGUUAGUUGCCAUCAGGUCAUGCUGGGGACUCUAACAAAACUGCCCGCGUAAGCGUGGAGGAAGGUGGGGAUGACGUCAAAUCAGCACGGCCCUUACGUCCAGGGCUACACACGUGCUACAAUGGCCGGUACAGAGGGCAGCCACUUGGUGACAAGGAGCAAAUCUCAAAAGCCGGUCUCAGUUCGGAUCGGAGUCUGCAACUCGACUCCGUGAAGUUGGAUUCGCUAGUAAUCGUAGAUCAGCAAUGCUACGGUGAAUACGUUCCCGGGCCUU